rnacentral:tRNA from 1 species
GACGAGGUGGCCGAGAGGUUAAGGCGAUUGACUGCUAAUCUAUUGGGCUCUGCCCGCGUGGGUUCGAAUCCAUCCUCGUCG